CAGACAGCCUGAAGCCACGGUCGACAGCUGCAAACGUUACCAUGAGCACAAAAGCAAAACAAGGUUUAAAAAAGUGAUACAUUGCCAGGCAUUUUGGCAAGAUUUCCUUGGAUCCAGACUGUGUUUUGCACUGUUUCAGUUGAAAAGAAGAGCAGCGCUCCUGCCCGCCACAUGUGAUGGAAUUUGGAGAUUAAAUAAAUAAUGGCAUUAAUGAUCUAAAGGGUUUACUGAGUGCAUCGCAAUAUUUGCCUUAUUACCGCAGAUUUGUUUGUUUGUUUAGCUGUUUAUUUUAAUUGUGUCUUUUCCUUUUUUUAAGUGUCAGCAGUUCACGUUUUGGCACCAGAUGGAGGCUUUCUUUUGGUGAAAUGCCACCGUGUCAUUCAGCCGAGCUUUGAGCCUUUGAAUGUUCGCGCAGCAUGGCCUGAUGCUGGAUGUGUAGGUCCACGACCGGGAUCGGACCCCGUGAACCCCAGGCCACGAAAAUGGAGCGCAAAGUCAACCACUACACCAUCAGGCCUGCCCCUCAAAAAGUUUUAAAGAACGUUGAGCUUUAAAAUGUUUCGAAGCCCCGAGGCUGGGAUUUUUAGGGAGCAGAUCCAGAGAGCUGGACUGCCUCCUCUGCAGUCUGGACCGUCUGCGUCUUUACAGAGCACCUCCCACCGUGAAGCACAAGGCCCCUCCCUGCUCACUGGAAUGAAAUGAUCGUCCUAAGAGGUCAACUUGCUUAAUUAUAUUUAAUUCCCCCAACUUUCUCCUGUGGCAGGAGGUAAAAUGCCACUGGAUAUGGCUUUUCUCUUGAAAGUACGUGGAAGAGCUGUGUUGGAGGGUCAGAAUAAGUGGUGUGUCUAUCCCUAGUUAGAGGAGGUCGCCUUUCAGUUGUGGUGGACUGAGGCCAUCGGCCACCAGAACAAGCCAUCUCUUGCUUUACUGUAGAACCAGCUGUAACAUCUAGAACGUGUUGCUCCUCUUUUCCUAAGGACUCAGAAUAUACCCACGAAGUUACUUCAAAUAGAGUCUAUUGUAAUCGUCAAAUAAGCCGAAUGUCGCUAAAUAUACCCGCUGUUAUUUUAGUCUUUAUUUGUAUAUGAUGAUUUAAUUUUCAUUGACUUGGAUGUGCUGUAGUGUAAAGCGCUCUGACUUCCCACCGCGGGUGGAGAGGGAACGACGAUGCUGAAGCGCACAGAGCCGUCACCGGGGGCGGGUUGACUCGAAGCAUGCAGGCAGACAUACGGGCCUCAUGUGUGCCCACCAUCCAAGGGAGAGGAGAAGCCGAGAGAGGAAGCCUGCACUGGAAGAAGGAAAGAGACAACGAGACAGAGAGAGGCCCACGCAGUCUGUGUGGAGAAAGGAGAUUUGAUCAGAGAAAUCACAAAGCAGGAUCCAGACGCCCUGACAGCUACUGGGCAGUUACUGAGACUCAUUCUUAUCAACUGAGGUGGAGCACAAAAUUAAGCAAUACUAAGGCGAGGCCAAUUCUAGGAUAGAUAUAUGAAAUGACAGAAAACUAUUUGUUUUACCUUUUUUUCCUCCCUGUGUGUGAUGCAUUUAUUUAUAUUUGAAAUGGAACGCAGUAAUUUAUCUUAUCUUUAUUCUACACCUGAAGUCAUCCUCUUCCUCCUCAAAUUAGCAUCUCCUCCUGAAUUUUCUCUCUCAUUUGGGGCUCCUUUGGAGCGAGGCCCUCCAACUUGAACCCCUGAAAAUCUAAGAUAGCUACGAUCCUGCUCACUCCGUAACAAGGCUCCCUAAUUGUUUUUUCGUGAAGAAACAACACUGAUGUUCCAGUCAAGACAUAACAUUGCCCCGGGAAGCAAUUAUUAUUAUUUUUUUAAUAUCAGCUUUAUUAAGAUAUAUAUAUAGGGGCCGGCCCCAUGGCCGAGUGGUUAAGUUCGUGUGCUCUGCUUGGGCAGCCCAGGGUUUCACUGUUCACUGGUUUGGAUUCUGGGCACGGACAUGGCACCACUCAUCAGGCCAUACUGAGGUGGCGUCCCACAUGCCACAACUAGAAGGACACACAACUAAAAAUAUACAACUAUGUGCUGGCAGGUUUUGGGGAGAAAAUGUAAAAAUAAAAUAAAUUAAAAAAUAUAUAUAUAUAUAUACAUGUAUCUUAUAAUAUAUAUAUGUAUCAUAAAAUUCACCAUUCUUUAAAGUGUACAAUUUAGGAGUAUUUAGUAUAUCCACAGAAUUGUGCGACCAUCAUCAACAUCUCAUUGUAGAACAUCUUUAUUACCCCCCAAAAAACCCUGUACCCUUUGGUGGUCACUCCACAAUCCCUCCAUCCCCACCCCUGGCAACAGCUAAUCCACUUUUUCCCUCUAUGGAUUUGCAUAUUCUGGAUAUUUCCUAUAAAUGCAGUCACACACGUGGACUUUUUGUUUGGCUUCUUUCACUUAGCAUAAUGUUUUUGAGAUUCAACCGUGUUGUAGCAUGUAUUAGUAUUUCAUUCCUUUUUAUGGCUGAAUAAUAUUUCAUUCUGUACACCAAGUUUUGUGUACCCAUUCAUCAGUUGAUGGACAUUUCAAUUGCUUUUACUUCUUGGCUAUUGUGACUAAUGCUGCUGUGGACACUUAUUCACAAGUUUUUGUGUGGACAUGUGUUUUCAGUUCUCUUGGGUAUAUACCCAGGAAUAGAAUUAUUGGGUUACGUGACAACUCUACAUUGAACAUUUUGAGAAACUUCCAAACUGUUUUCCAAAGUGUCUGCACCAAUUUACAACUAAUGAAUGAGGGUUCCAAUUUCUCCACAUCCUCAUCAACAUUUGUUAUUACCUGUCUUUUUUAUUUUAGCCAUUAUUGUUAGUGUGAAUUUGUAUCCUGUUGUGGUUUUGAUUUGCACUUCCCUAGUGAAAAGUG
rnacentral:lncRNA from 1 species